rnacentral:lncRNA from 1 species
AAAAGAUAUAAUUGAAAAGGAGAAAAAUAUCAAACUCCGAAGAUUAAAUAUCGAAAAGGUGAAGAUUGAAGAGGAAAUGAGACACAAGUUAAGAAAAUUAGAAAUUGAUAAACAAAAGAUUGAAGAUGAGACAAAUGUCAGAUUGAGAACAGUCCUUCGGAAAUAUUCUAAAAUUUAAAUGGAAGAAGAGACUAUAGUAGUAUUAUCGGUUAGAGACACCUAACUCUUGUAUUGUAUUGGCUUGUGUGUAAUCAUGUUUUUUUUUAAUGUCAACUUAUCAACAUGUUUUAAGUAUUUUGAGUUUUAACUAGACUCUCAUUAAGGUUAUUUCCUAACGAUUGCUCUCUUGGGGUCAUCGAUGUUAGUUUGGGUGAUCAGAUCGAUCUUCUUAAUCAGUUCUAAUAUUCUACUUUUCUUUUUUGAAAAUGCAUGUUAAUGCCGAGAAGGCUAUAUUUAAUAUUUAGAGGAAAUUUGUUUGGGGAAGGGAUUGAAGGUGAGACAAAAUAUAUUGGGUUAGGUGGGUUGAUAUUUGCAAGUAUAAGCAAAAUGGUGUUGAAGAGUAGUAUUUUGGACUUCUAGUCUGAAAAGUGAUAUUUA